UACGAAGGGGGCUAGCGUUGUUCGGAAUUACUGGGCGUAAAGCGCACGUAGGCGGCAUUCCAAGUUGGAGGUGAAAUCCCCGGGCUUAACCUGGGAACUGCCUCCAAAACUGGGAAGCUCGAGUCCGAGAGAGGUGAGUGGAAUUUCCAGUGUAGAGGUGAAAUUCGUAGAUAUUUGAAAGAACACCAGUGGCGAAGGCGGCUCACUGGGCCAUUACUGACACUGAGGUGCGAAAGCGUGGGUAGCAAACAGG
rnacentral:rRNA from 1 species